AUUGAACGCUGGCGGCAUGCUUUACACAUGCAAGUCGAGCGGCAGCGCGGGGGGCAACCCUGGCGGCGAGCGGCGAACGGGUGAGGAAUACAUCGGAACGUACCCCGGAGUGGGGGAUAACGCCGCGAAAGCGGCGCUAAUACCGCAUAUGCUCUGAGGAGGAAAGUGGGGGGACCUGCAAGGGCCUCACGCUCUGGGAGCGGCCGAUGUCCGAUUAGCUAGUUGGUGGGGUAAAGGCCCACCAAGGCGACGAUCGGUAGCUGGUCUGAGAGGAUGAUCAGCCACACUGGGACUGAGACACGGCCCAGACUCCUACGGGAGGCAGCAGUGGGGAAUUUUGGACAAUGGGGGCAACCCUGAUCCAGCCAUGCCGCGUGCGGGAAGAAGGCCU
rnacentral:rRNA from 1 species